rnacentral:rRNA from 1 species
UACGUAGGUGGCAAGCGUUGUCCGGAUUUAUUGGGCGUAAAGGGGGCGCAGGUGGUUUCUUAAGUCUGAUGUGAAAGCCCACGGCUUAACCGUGGAGGGUCAUUGGAAACUGGGAAACUUGAGUGCAGAAGAGGAGAGUGGAAUUCCAUGUGUAGCGGUGAAAUGCGUAGAGAUUAGGAGGAACACCAGUGGCGAAGGCGGCUUUUUGGCCUGUAACUGACACUGAGGCGCGAAAGCGUGGGGAGCAAACAGG